rnacentral:rRNA from 1 species
UACGUAGGGGGCAAGCGUUAUCCGGAAUUACUGGGUGUAAAGGGAGCGUAGACGGUAAUGUAAGUCUGGAGUGAAAGGCGGGGGCCCAACCCCCGGACUGCUCUGGAAACUAUGUUACUAGAGUGCAGGAGAGGUAAGCGGAAUUCCUAGUGUAGCGGUGAAAUGCGUAGAUAUUAGGAGGAACACCAGUGGCGAAGGCGGCUUACUGGACUGAAACUGACGUUGAGGCUCGAAAGCGUGGGGAGCAAACAGG